rnacentral:rRNA from 1 species
GCUUUAUAUUGAAGUAUUUAUUAUAAAUUUAGAAGAAUUUUUUUAAAUAGGUAUUGAAGUAUUUUGUUGGGGUGACAGGAAGAUAAACAAAACUCUUUUUAGUUUAAUUACAUUGAUUUAUGAAUUGUUGAUCCAUUUUUAGUGAUUAUAAGACUAAGU